UAUACAACAAUAAUAUAAUUUCUAUACAAAUUCUAUACAGUUUGUAUACCACAUCAGAAAACCUAUGCAUAAAUAGUUACUAUACCAUAGUUAAACCGUCCUUAUACCACUUUUUUUUAAAAUUGAAAUGGCCAAAUGGCCUUUUAUUAGAAACAAAAAGAAAUAUUUACAAAAAGUUGAAUUGGGCCUAUACCCACCCGGGUGACCCAUCAAACAGUAAAACAUUAAAACAAUUCAAUCUAAGGAAAAUUCUAGAAAAUCCACAAUAAGAAAGAAAAAGAAAAAAUCCAAAAAGGAAAGUAGGGAAUUGGAUCAACUCUUCUUCAUCAGCUUCCUUGUGUACCAGCAGAGCACCUCAAUCGAUUUCAGCAGCAAACAAAGAAAUCAUCAAGCUAUUAAAGCUGAAGAGCAGUGAAAAAUGAUGAGUUUUGGGGAUUUUCAUUAUAGACGUUCCAGAGUCUCACGAACAUCAUGAAGUCGACCCAAUUGAAGACUUCUUCAACUCAUCAAACAACCGAUUUGAGCUUCUCUAACCAGAUGAGUGUAUUUCCCUUACAGUCGAUGGCUUACUUAGAAGUGCCUGCUUCACCCACUGGAUAAUCUGCUAAUAAAACAUGUCUACAGGGAACAAAAUAAAUUGGCAAAUGCGCUGGCAAAAAUAAAUGUAAAUACUACUACUUUUGCUGCACUGCAUCUAUUUUGGGUUCCUCCACCAUCCAUAAAGGAUGCUUUGGAAGCUGAUAAAUGGGAGGACUAUCUAUUAGAAGGGUUAUGACUCAAGCACCCACACACUCCUUGUAUAAUACUAAUGCUCCUAGUUAUUGGACUGUAACUACUAGCUCUAGCAAUGCUACUGCUCUCACCAGUGUUUGGACAGUGGCUAUGCCACAAACUAUUCCUAUGUAGACACUGCUUGUUUCCCUA